GCUGAGUGUGAUGAUGCGUGCCUGUAGUCCCAGCUACUCAGGAGGCUGAGGCAGGAGAAUUACUUGAGCCCAGGCGGCGGAGGUUUCGAUGAGCUGAGAUCACGCCACUCACUGCACUCCAGCCUGGGC